GACGAACGCUGGCGGCGUGCUUAACACAUGCGAGUCGAACGGAAAGGCCCUGCUUUUGUGGGGUGCUCGAGUGGCGAACGGGUGAGUAACACGUGAGUAACCUGCCCUUGACUUUGGGAUAACUUCAGGAAACUGGGGCUAAUACCGGAUAGGAGCUCCUGCUGCAUGGUGGGGGUUGGAAAGUUUCGGCGGUUGGGGAUGGACUCGCGGCUUAUCAGCUGGUUGGUGGGGUAGUGGCUUACCAAGGCUUUGACGGGUAGCCGGCCUGGGAGGGUGACCGGCCACAUUGGGCCUGAGAUACGGCCCAGACUCCUACGGGAGGCAGCAGUGGGGAAUAUUGCACAAUGGGCGGAAGCCUGAUGCAGCAACGCCGCGUGCGGGAUGACGGCCUUCGGGUUGUAAACCGCUUUCGCCUGUGCCGAAGCGUGAGUGACGGUAAUGGGUAAAGAAGCACCGGCUAACUACGUG
rnacentral:rRNA from 1 species